UACAGAGGUCUCAAGCGUUGUUCGGAUUCAUUGGGCGUAAAGGGCGCGUAGGCUGCGGGGCAAGUCGGGUGUGAAAUCUCCGAGCUCAACUCUGAAACUGCACUCGAUACUGCUUUGCUUGAGGACUGGAGAGGAGAUUGGAAUUCACGGUGUAGCAGUGAAAUGCGUAGAUAUCGUGAGGAAGACCAGUGGCGAAGGCGGAUCUCUGGACAGUUCCUGACGCUGAGGCGCGAAGGCCAGGGGAGCAAACGGG
rnacentral:rRNA from 1 species